AGCGUUGUCCGGAUUUAUUGGGCGUAAAGAGCGUGUAGGCGGCUUGGUAGGUCCGCUGUGAAAACUCGAGGCUCAACCUCGAGAUGUCGGCGGAAACCACUUGGCUAGAGUCCGGAAGAGGAGAGUGGAAUUCCUGGUGUAGCGGUGAAAUGCGCAGAUAUCAGGAAGAACACCUAUGGCGAAGGCAGCUCUCUGGGACGGUACUGACGCUGAGACGCGAAAGCGUGGGGAGCGAACAGG
rnacentral:rRNA from 1 species